GAAAUCAUGUUAGCACUAAAAUUGUCACCAAUUUCAGUUACAUAGCAAAGUAAAAAAUCAUAUUUUUUUAUAAUUUUUAUGAAAAAAUAUUUUUUGUUUAAACAAGUGUAUUAUUACAACGUCAAAUCUCAAUUCUUGGAGCAACAUUUCAUUGUUUCAAACGUUUAACAAUUGGAUCAAAUGAUGUUGAAUUCAAUUUGUGUAAAAGAGCGCCAAUGACCAGCUCACGAGGGAGCGGGGGAUAUGCAUGGAAAAGGACUGUCCUACAAGGAAAGCGUUCCUCGAACUACGCGAGUGCCAGAACCGCAUCAUGAACAAGCCGUACACGGCUGAGAACUGCCACCAGGAGACGGUAGACCUGAUAGAGGCCAUCGACCACUGCGUUGCUGAUAAGGCUUUUGUUAAAUUUGCUUGAGAUGCUUUAAACUUUUUGCUUGAAGACCUUAAUAAAGUUGAUUUCAAGUAA